CAAAACAGUUCUGUGGGGCAAAAUAGACUUGAAAAUAUAUCCCUUGAUUAUCCUGGGAGAUUUUUCUCUCCAAACUACAUCUACGCUCAGUCCCAUUGAUUUUGGUAUCUGCUGGAACUUGUAGCAAGAAAAUGGCAUGUGGCUGGUUAACUUUUCAUUUCUCAUCUGUAGUAUCUGGUAUUUUAUUUUAUCAUUUGAUUUCCUUGCCCUCACAGUUAUGUAAAUCUUGAGGCAAAGGAGUUAAAAAGAGGUUCUUAUUUUAUACCUGGACAUUUCACUGGACAUUUUUUCUCAGGCUUUAUAAUUAAGAUUGGAGAUCUUGUGGGUAUUUUAAAUAUAUACUAAAAUUUGUCUAAAUAGCCACAGGCAAAGCGAAUGACCAACUGGGUAGCUGAUGAAUAUUUUCCUGGUAGAUGUACAACAACGUUCCCCACAACUGGGAUGCUUUAUCCUUUGACAUUAAGAAUGCUGUUUGCAGAAGUAACAUUCCUUUGAACACUCAACGCUCUGAAAUCGUGUCCCGCCGCAAGGACUCAAAUAGGAGUGUGCCUUGCAAUGACAGAAGAUAGCAUGAUGAGGAAGCUCAAGAAGUAGGAAAAUGAAAAUUUAGUAUGUCAGCAUCAUGAGGAAUAUUGGCUCUUAAAAGGCAGUGUCCAUUAAGAAAUAAGACUCUUCAGCCUCCAGCCCAGUGAGAAACCCGAACCACAUUGAGAAGCUAUGGAUGAUGUGAUACAGUGUUGGCCAGAGACAAGAAGUGUGGAGGCCACGGGUUUGAGUGGAGAAAUCACGGAGGAAGAGGUUUCAUUGUCCUGUGCUGCUUCAGAGGAGGCCCCAAAGAUCAAAGAGGAACCCUGCCAAGCCCUUUGCAAACCCCUGACCCACCAACAUGCAAGAGACUAAUGGGUACUGUGGCUCCUGGAUUCAUCAGGAAGAAGAGAUUUCAGUUGCAUCCUUAAACAGAAAGGAGAAUUCAAUCAACUCCCUUCUAGAAUAUGGUGGAUGCUCCCUUUUCCCUGAAAAUACUCAUCUUUGAGUCUCAGAUCAUCCGAUUGUCCCACCCAAUAUCCCUCCCUGUUACAGAAACCAUGAAGACGUUUGCAGGCCACUAGAAGACAAUAUGGAAAGAAUACCGAUCCCUCUGUCACUAAUUAGAAGAGAGAGAUCAAGAAAUAUAUCCGUUCAGAAACAUCCACAUUGGGUUUUGUUAUGAUCAAUGCAUAUUUUAUGAAGUCCCUGAGAUUUGGGGAUUCUUUGUUACAACAUUUAUACUAUCUAACUUAGAUAUCAGAUAGUACAUCCUAUUCUCCACCAAGCUGUCAGAAUGAGCCUAAUAAAACAUAGGUCAAAUGACAUCACUCUUUUCCUCACUUACUUUAUGCAGUCACACAGGCCUCCUAACUGUUCCUGGAAUGCACCAACCACUGCUUCAUUGAAAGCCUUUUACUCGCUCUUUCCUAUGCCUGGAGUGCUCUGCCAAUAAUUCUUUGUAUGUCUAUUCCCUUAUCUCUUAUCACUAGUCAAUCUCUUAGUGAAACUUUCCUUGACAUACUUAUUUAAAAUGGAAUCUGACUUUCACUCUGACAUCUUAUGCUGCCCUUACUCUUAGAAUUUUCUCCAGAGGAGUUGUUACUAUGUCACAUACUCAAUUCUUUGUUGGGUCUGUUUGACUCCUAGCACUUAUAAAUGUGUCUAGAACAUUUCAGGAACCCAGUAAACAUUUGUUAGAGAAUGAAUUGGCUCAACUAACUCAUUACAUUUUUCAUCUUUUCAAGCAUUCAACAUAUAUUCAUUCAAAACAUGUGGGGUUCUCUGGCCUAGAUAACCCUAACCCACUCACAUAUAUACAUCUUAUCUUCUUAACACACCUGUAGUACAGGUACCAAUUUAGGUAUCAUUUCCUAAAGUCAGAACCUCAGUUUUCUUCUGUUGAUGCCUCUCUUCCAUUACCUAUUAUGCUCUGCUCAUCUGUUAUCACACAAGUUUUCCUAUGGUAGUAUAAAAUCACUUACCUAGAGCCAGACAUCCUGGAGUCUGAAGUCAAGUGGGCCUUAGAAAGCAUCACUAUGAAAAAACAUAGUAGAGGUGAUGGAAUUCCAGCUGAGCUAUUUCAAGUCAUAAAAG